rfam:Punica granatum cultivar Dabenzi scaffold59, whole genome shotgun sequence.
CGGAUGAGGAUGAAGCAAAAAACAAUAUAAAUCCAACACUUGAUCUGAUCAUAAACAGUGAUGCUCAAAAUUGUUAGCUUCUGAAUCUGC